rnacentral:miRNA from 1 species
GAUGGCCAGCUGGAAGGAGACCCUUCCAGCCGGCGAGGUACUUGUACCUCGUCGACCGGAAGGGUGUCCUUCCAGUCGACGAGGUAUGGAAGGACACCCUUCCAGUCGACGAGGUACAAGUACCUCAACGGCUGGAAGGAAGCCCUUCCAGCCGGCCCUU